UUUUUCAGUCUGCUUUCUUCAGGAGAAGCCUCCAGGAAAGGAAAGGGGGUAGUUGAAUGCAGUUCUGCACAUUUCUGUGCUGCUGCUUCCUGACAGGGCAGCCCCAGUACAGGAGGCCUCUGCAGACCACUCUCUUAUCUCUGUGUUGGAAAUGCUUCUGGGAGGUCUCCAGACAACUUGUGUUUCUCCAAGAACAGAGGAUUUUGAAGCAGAAAGGUUGGUGGGACAGCCUUGGGGAGAGAAUGGCAGAGAACAGGAAGGAAGGCUAAUGUGGAUCAAAGGAAAGCUAAGGCUGCGAACAGAUGAAGAGCUGAAUUGUUUGCAUUGUCUAUUGCGAAGCACUUCUGCAGCAUUUGCUGGACUGAAAGCACAGCUGCUCUUGACUUUCUGGAAGCCAUGGAUGAGGAGUACUUCUUCAAAUCAGGCUGAGUUAGUCCCCAUGUCAGAGUUCAGACAACGAAGAACACCAGCAACAUUUAGCAAACCUUUUCCUAGUCUCCCAUAGCAUUUGUGUGAAGGGAAGAAACAAAAUAAUCCAGUUCCCACAGCACCCCUCAGUACCCCUUAACAGUUGGACUGUAUUUCACACUCUAAAGUCUCCUAACACCUUCAGAUAUUUCAGUUCACUAGUCCUGUUCACUGCUCCCUGAUGAAAGACAAUCCAGCCUGCAGUUGGAAUGCAACCAAGUUCUUAGGCAAAAUGAAUACUCCCCUUAGAUUCGUUUUUGUGUAUUUGACUUCACGACUCAACACUGUUUUUUUUUAACACAGCCUUUUGUGUAUAAUGUAUUAGGUCUUAAAAGUUGUUUGAAAGCACAGCUUCCUCUACAAUGCCUCAAAUCAUCGUGCAUAUGGUCCGUCAGUAGUAGGGCUGAAGGUCUUGGAUUUGCUACUUAGAUCUCUUCCACUGAGAGGGAUAAUUGGUGACACAGCAGAUGCUUCAUUCUGGACAAAUUGCUGAAGAAG
ensembl:lncRNA